AUCUAGCUGGCGAAUUCCAAAUAGAACGAAACGCGUGUCCUGGAU
rnacentral:hammerhead_ribozyme from 1 species